UACAGAGGGUGCAAGCGUUGUUCGGAAUUAUUGGGCGUAAAGGGUGCGCAGGCGGCUCCGCAUGUCGGGCGUGAAAUCCCCGGGCUUAACCUGGGAAUUGCGUCCGAAACUAUGGAGCUGGAGUGUGGCAGAGGGAGGUGGAAUUCCACGUGUAGCGGUGAAAUGCGUAGAGAUGUGGAGGAACACCGAUGGCGAAGGCGGCGCACUGGACCACAACUGACGCUGAGGCGCGAAAGCUAGGGGAGCAAACAGG
rnacentral:rRNA from 1 species